ACGUGGCUCCAUGUUGGGCUGAUGGAACAUCUUUAGGAGUACCUUCCCAGCAUGUCCUUCAUCACUGGGAUGAAGGAAACCCUGGCUUUUCUUAUUCACAAUUUCAGUAUGUUUUCUAAUGAUUUCAAGAAAGUUAGUAUCCUCAGCACUGAGAAGACUUUGGAAGAGAGGGACAGUAUUCAGUAUCCACGCCUGGUGCAUUGUGUGAAGACAGGGGCAUCAUAUGUCACUACGGAAUGUUGAAAGUCCCUCUGGUCUCACUCAAUACCAAAGGGCAUCUUUCUAUAGAAAAAGGCAAAGACUGAAUACAUGGAAACCUGAAGCUACAGAGUAACAACUCUUGUGGAUGUGACUUCCUGUGCAGAGGUAUCUGUGACAGAGCUGAUAAAUCAGGCAUAGGAGAUUGACAACAGUGACAAGGCAGGCUCUCUCACUGAGCUUGAAGCUCUGCUAGACUGACAUGUGAGCACUUCAAGGACCCUCCUGUCUCGGCUUCCCCUGUCCUGGGAUUCCAGGUACACCACCAUGGGGACUGAGCUCAUAUUUGUGACAAGCACUUUACCGAGUGAGCUAUGUCCCCAGCCCCUGGACAUUCUUGAAAUAAAUGAAUUGUUU